UAAUACGAGGGGGGCAAGCGUUAUCCGGAUUCAUUGGGCGUAAAGGGUUCGUAGGCUGACCGAUCAGUCAAAAUUGAAAGACCUUGACUUAAUCAAGGGAACGGUUUUGAUACUGUCGUCUUGAGUGAGGUAGAGGUGAAUAGAAUUCCUGGUGUAGCGGUGAAAUGCAUAGAUAUCAGGAGGAAUACCAAAGGCGAAGGCAGUUCACUGGACCUAUACUGACGCUGAGGAACGAAAGCGUGGGGAGCAAACAGGAUUAGAGACCCUGGUAGUCCACGCCGUAAACGAUGAGCACUUGGUGGUGGGGGAAUCGACCCCUUCGCUGCCGUAGUUAACGCGUUAAGUGCUCCGCCUGGGGACUACGACCGCAAGGUUG
rnacentral:rRNA from 1 species